rnacentral:rRNA from 1 species
GAUGAACGCUGGCGGCGUGCUUAACACAUGCAAGUCGAACGAAGCACUUUAACCUGAUUCUUCGGAUGAAGGUUUUUGUGACUGAGUGGCGGACGGGUGAGUAACGCGUGGGUAACCUGCCUCAUACAGGGGGAUAACAGUUAGAAAUGACUGCUAAUACCGCAUAAGACCACAGAGCCGCAUGGCUCGGUGGGAAAAACUCCGGUGGUAUGAGAUGGACCCGCGUCUGAUUAGGUAGUUGGGGGGGUAACGGCCUACCAAGCCAACGAUCAGUAGCCGACCUGAGAGGGUGACCGGCCACAUUGGGACUGAGACACGGCCCAAACUCCUACGGGAGGCAGCAGUGGGGAAUAUUGCACAAUGGGGGAAACCCUGAUGCAGCGACGCCGCGUGAGCGAAGAAGUAUUUCGGUAUGUAAAGCUCUAUCAGCAGGGAAGAAAAUGACGGUACCUGACUAAGAAGCACCGGCUAAAUACGUG